rnacentral:rRNA from 1 species
UACGAAGGGUGCUAGCGUUGUUCGGAAUUACUGGGCGUAAAGGGCGCGUAGGCGGCCUGAUAAGUCAGAUGUGAAAGCCCCGGGCUCAACCUGGGAAUAGCAUUUGAUACUGUUAGGCUAGAGAUCGAGAGAGGAAAGUGGAAUGACGAGUGUAGAGGUGGAAUUCGUAGAUAUUCGUUGGAACACCAGUGGCGAAGGCGACUUUCUGGCUCGAUACUGACGCUAAGGCGCGAAAGCGUGGGGAGCAAACAGG